GACGAACGCUGGCGGCGUGCCUAAUACAUGCAAGUCGAGCGCAGGAAACUGACGGAACUCUUCGGAGGGAAGGCAGCGGAAUGAGCGGCGGACGGGUGAGUAACACGUAAGGAACCUGCCUCAAGGAUUGGGAUAACUCCGAGAAAUCGGAGCUAAUACCGGAUAGUUCAACGGACCGCAUGGUCCGCUGAUGAAAGGCGCUUCGGCGUCACCUUGAGAUGGCCUUGCGGUGCAUUAGCUAGUUGGUGGGGUAACGGCCCACCAAGGCGACGAUGCAUAGCCGACCUGAGAGGGUGAUCGGCCACACUGGGACUGAGACACGGCCCAGACUCCUACGGGAGGCAGCAGUAGGGAAUCUUCCACAAUGGACGAAAGUCUGAUGGAGCAACGCCGCGUGAGUGAUGAAGGUUUUCGGAUCGUAAAACUCUGUUGUAAGGGAAGAACACGUACGAGAGGAAAUGCUCGUACCUUGACGGUACCUUACGAGAAAGCCACGGCUAACUACGUGCCAGCCGCCGCAGUAAAAC
rnacentral:rRNA from 1 species